CGUUUUUUUUUUUUGUUUUCCAUUAAUAAUGCAAAUGUUUAAAAUCGCACGUUUUGAAAUUAACUGUCUCCGUAGUACGCAUGCCCGUUCGUACGUAUACACACACUCCUGAAAUCUAAUUGAAUAUCUCGUGCUCAUUCCAGACAAAGUAGGGAUCAAUCACACCGCGAGACGAUACGUCGCACUCGUUUACGCCCGUCAAUAUGGAAAUGUGUCU